UCCGGCGUGGUCUAGUGGCUACAAUAUCUGGCUUUCACCCAGAAGGCCCGGGUUCGAUUCCCGGCGUCGGAA
rnacentral:tRNA from 1 species